UACAGAGGGUGCGAGCGUUGUCCGGAAUCACCGGGCGUAAAGGGCGCGUAGGUGGUGGCUUAAGCGUGCGGUGAAAGCUCGGGGCUCAACUCCGAGUCGGCCGUGCGAACUGGGCUCACUGGAGCAUAGUAGAGGCAGGUGGAAUUCCGGGUGUAGCGGUGGAAUGCGUAGAGAUCCGGAAGAACACCGGUGGCGAAGGCGGCCUGCUGGGCUAUGGCUGACACUGAGGCGCGACAGCGUGGGGAGCAAACAGG
rnacentral:rRNA from 1 species